rnacentral:rRNA from 1 species
UGGGGAAUAUUGCACAAUGGGGGAAACCCUGAUGCAGCGACGCCGCGUGAGCGAAGAAGUAUUUCGGUAUGUAAAGCUCUAUCAGCAGGGAAGAAAAUGACGGUACCUGACUAAGAAGCUCCGGCUAAAUACGUGCCAGCAGCCGCGGUAAUACGUAUGGAGCAAGCGUUAUCCGGAUUUACUGGGUGUAAAGGGAGCGUAGGCGGUAAGGCAAGUCUGAUGUGAAAGGCCAGGGCUCAACCCUGGGACUGCAUUGGAAACUGUUUAACUGGAGUGUCGGAGAGGCAAGUGGAAUUCCUAGUG